AUGCGGCCAAGGAGACGCGUUCCAAGAUUAGGGAUGCGCGGGAGGAGCUUCGACAGGCCGGGGAAAUCGCGUCUGCAAAACUCUUAUUUGUUGCGGAUGAAGUUUUUAGAUCCGAAGUACGCUCCUAUGGAUCGACGCUGGAGUCCUACAGACGCCUAUGCAGAUUUGGCAAAGAGUACGGCUGAUGCAGCCAAGUUUUUCGAGGAUCAAAAAGAUGAUGAAGUGGAAAAGCUAUUCUGGUCGCAGUUCAGCGCUCCAACGUGCACAUUGCCUUUGAGUGAGAGGAUGGCUGCUAUGGCCGAGCUCCACAGGUUGUCCGGUCUUGCAAUGCGGUCUGUAAUAGACCAUCUAUGGCCGAAGGGGCCUAAGCCGGACAGUUAUUUUAGUUUAGUGCAACAAUUCCUUGGUGCCGUAUCGUGGAUCGAUGCCAUGAAGAGGUCGGCGUGCAUAGAGGGUGCACAGAUGGCUCUUGCCCGUGUUAAAGCAUAUUGGACAGAUAUGGAGGCCACCGUCGUUGCGACCCAGAAUCUGGCGGGGGGCCAGGAUCCGGCCGAGCACAUCUUGGAGCAGGUAGCAGAAGGUGCUCGCUUAAUAGAGGCUCAGUGCUUGAAAAGUGUCAUGUUCGAGUGA
rnacentral:rRNA from 1 species